UACGUAGGGUGCGAGCGUUGUCCGGAAUUAUUGGGCGUAAAGAGCUCGUAGGCGGUCUGUCGCGUCGGUCGUGAAAACCUGCAGCUUAACUGUGGGCGUGCGGUCGAUACGGGCAUGACUGGAGUUCGGCAGGGGAGACUGGAAUUCCUGGUGUAGCGGUGAAAUGCGCAGAUAUCAGGAGGAACACCGGUGGCGAAGGCGGGUCUCUGGGCCGAUACUGACGCUGAGGAGCGAAGGCGUGGGGAGCGAACAGG
rnacentral:rRNA from 1 species